rnacentral:rRNA from 1 species
GACGACGCUGGCGGCCGUGCCUAACACAUGCAAGUCGAACGGAGUCUUGCGUCAAACAGAGUGCUUUUAAAGAGCACUGUGUGUUGAUGUAAGACUUAGUGGCGGACGGGUGAGUAACACGUGAGCAACCUGCCCAUGGGAGGGGGAUAACAUACCGAAAGGUAUGCUAAUACCGCAUAACGUAUGUUUGCCGCAUGACAGACAUACCAAAGAUUUAUCGCCCAUGGAUGGGCUCGCGGCCGAUUAGGUAGUUGGUGAGGUAACUGCUCACCAAGCCGACGAUCGGUAGCCGGACUGAGAGGUUGAACGGCCACAUUGGGACUGAGACACGGCCCAGACUCCUACGGGAGGCAGCAGUGGGGAAUAUUGCGCAAUGGGGGAAACCCUGACGCAGCGACGCCGCGUGAAGGAUGAAGGUCUUCGGAUCGUAAACUUUUGUCAUCGGGGACGAGUAAGGACGGUACCCGAGGAGGAAGCCACGGCUAACUACGUG